rnacentral:ncRNA from 1 species
UACUUGGUUGAUCCUGCCAAGGAAGCACACUUAGGUCAUAGAUUAAGCCAUGCAAGUGUUAGUUCAGGUAACGAAACUGCGAAUAGCUCAUUAAUACGCUCAGAAUCUAUUUGGCGGCGACCAACAGGUCUUAAAUGGAUAGCAGCAGCAACUCUGGUGCUAAUACAUGCGAUUGUUUCUCCAGAUGUGAAUUAUGGAGGAAAAGUUGACCUCAUCAGAGGCACGCCAUUCGACUGAGUGACCUAUCAGCUUGUACUUAGGGUCUUUACCUAGGUAGGCUAUCACGGGUAACGGGCGGUUACCGUCGGACUGCCGGAGAAGGCGCCUGAGAGAUAGCGACUAUAUCCACGGGUAGCAGCAGGCGCGAAACUUUCCACUCGAGACUUUCGGAGGAGGUAAUGACCAGUUCCAUUGGUGCCUUUUGGUACUGUGGAUAGGGGGUACGGGUUUUCCACCGUACCGAAACCUAGCAGAGGGGCAGUCUGGGUGCAGCAGCUGC